UCAGAAUCCAGUGUGAGGAGACUCCUGGUUCUUGAUUAGCUCCUCCAUUUCCGCUCCUGUAACUCCUAGAGGUGCUGCGAGAGGCUCGCAGGGUCCUGCCUGCUGUGUCACCUGGGCAGCCCCCUGAGACACGAGCUCUCUGCAGAGGGCCCGCCCUCUGUUAGGGGCCUGAUGAGUUUUGUGGGGGCUUUGGCAGCACCCGGGACUGAACCCAGGCAGGCCUUUCCGACUGAGCUACAUCCCUGUCCCUUCCCAGGUUCGAGACGGUCUUGCUCAGUUGUCCAGGCUAGGCUGCCAUUUGCUAUCCUCCUGCCUCAGCCUCCCAGAGUGCUGGGAAUAUGAAUAUGUGCCAAAGCCCAGCCUGAUACUUCAUGUGAAUGCCUAGGUGAGCCCAUGUGCUCCUCCCGUCUACGUUGUAAGACACAGCUUUUGUGGGCGCCUCUUUGCUCUUGUCUGGGUGGAACUGCAAACAGGACAAGGAAGGGAUCCUUGUGGUGUAAGGCCCUUGCCACUGCUCUAGGGCUCUGAUCCCAGGCCACCCCUCUCAGGGAAAGGACCGGGUAGGCAGGUGGGCAGGCCCUGCUCUGGCAUGGUCACAUCAGUGCAGGUCCUCCUGGGUGCCACCUCUGCUCUGCCAGGCUCUGGGCAGGGUGGACUGUACUUCAUCAGUCCCCUUCCCAGUCAGGCAGGGAGCUGGAGCCAGAGCAGGAGGACCACACCGCCUCCCCUUCUCUGCCCUGCACCUGUUUGGGGUAGGGGGGGCAGGUGCUGGCGGACAGACUGACGCUCCACACACAUCUGCUCCUGUUUCGCUGUGCUCUCCAGUCUGUCACAAGCCCAGGAUAGGAACCAUGCCAGGAGCCAGACAGGAUGCUUCCCACUUCUCACCUGCUUGGCCUCGGUCUGCUCUGGCUGACAGGAGGGGCCUGAGGGGAGGCAGGGAGAUGCUAACCCCGUCCAGCUGUCCCCACCUACCCAGCUGUCCCUGGCUUUGUUGAAGCAGCUGUCACCCACCUUCCAAAAAAGUCUGUCAGAGGAGGCCCAAGAGGAGUUGGGGCUGCUCCCCGGCCCUCCCCUGCCAGAAUGGCCCCUGCUCGUCCCCUUCCAGGCAGGGCUGGUGCCCACAGUGUCCCCAUCCCACGGCCCAGAUGUGCGAGCCGCGGGAGAGGAGGCCUUGGCUGAGCCAGCGGUCCCAGGUCGCAGCUGGGGGGGGGCAACCCAGCGUCCAGAGGAAAGGGACCGUCGGUGGGCGGGACGCGGGAGACUGCACCGCCCUCCGUCCUGGGCCGGCCUGUACCCUACUUCCGGGCUGUCAGGGCCAGGCCCGCUCACACCCACGACCACGCACCCACGCACGCAGACCCUGUCCCUGCCAGGGCGCACACCCGGCGCGGCCUACUUUAUGGGGUGUGCAUCGGCAGGGGAGGGCGUCGGACCCCUGGGCCCUGCCGUGAAGGUCGGGGGAGGAACUGCGAUCCUGGGCAGCACUGAGCGGACCCACAGGAGGACUUUAUUCCGGACAAGAGGGACUUCCAGGCAGGGAGCCAGGGGACCUCAGUCAAGCUGCUUCUUAGCUGUGUACUUCGUGGCAAGUGUCUCAGUGUUCUCAUCUGGGAGCAAGGGGCAGUAAAGGCCCAAGGUAGGAACAAGCACCUGCUCCCCUAAUGCUAAGGGGAGCAGUUUGCCCUGCCCUGAACCUUGGGUCUCAGCUAUCCCAGCAAAGCCCCUCACUUGCUCUAGGCAGUUCUGUCAUUAAUAUUUCAUUUCUUCGAAGGACCUUUGUCCCCACUGCACUGCUUGCUGUUCACACUAAGAAACCUCUGGUCUUUUUUAGUACCUGGGACCUUGCACUUUCGAGGCAGGCAUGGUGCCACUGAGCUAAAUCCGCAGCCCUCUCUGUGUCCUUUUGUGCAUAAUUCCUUCACUCUUUUUCUGAGAGCAAAGCCUUAGAAUAAAAAGGGAAAAAAGUAUCGUGGGACUCAGCCAACAGACCUUGGCUUAAAUUCUUCCUCUGUCUCACUUUUCCGAAGUGAUCUUGGCCAUGUGAUUCAGAUUCUGGGAACCUUUCCUCCCCUCCAGCUUGGUGGCAAUACUGGCGGUCACCGAAGCCCUGGAAAGGGUUAAACAGGAGAAGGGCCUGUCCGGCACAGGUGGACCCCUCGCCUUUCCGGAAGGGAAGCGCGGGAUGGCUGCGUCACCCGUUCUCGUCCGCCUGCGCCCUGGCUCUGCACACGCGCCGCCCCGCCCGCCCCACACCGUGCGCCGGGAUCGUCCGGGAUCCUCGGCGGCAGCGGGAGCGCCCUUCUGUCCUCCCGCCUGCUCCCUCCCGGUGACUGCCACCUCUCCGUUCCGAAGUGUUGGAAAUUACAGAACAGACUGCAGUUAAGGGGGCUGCAGAGGGGAACGGGGCCCUAAAAUGCGGCCCGACUGAGCACGAAGCAGUGUUUUUGCCUGGAGCCAGGCGGGAGGCGCUGACGAGUCUGUACCCACUUCACCCCCAAUGUAACUGCGGGCAGUGCGGCCGGGUGGGCUGCUGCGAGGGCUGCCUGUAGGCCUGCACCGGCCCCUUGUUUGUUGCUUUGAAAGUCAAAGGGCCACAGAUGGAGAGGAGAGGCUUGAAGCCCGGGGAGGUCUGGACUUCAGACUUCCUGCUUGCUCUGUGCACACAGUCUUCUCUAAGCCUCCGGACAGCCAGGAGACGACCGUCACAGAUGCGGGAACCAAGGCACUGAGCGACCCACUGCGCACACAACUGCCUGGACCCGGGGAUUUCAGCCCCGAGUCCUCUUUCAGAUCUCCCUGCCUCUGCAGUCCCAUUUCACGGAUGAAGCGGAACAGCGCGAGCACCUUGGGAGAGAGAAACUCGCCCAGGUCACCGAGCUGAUUCAUGGGUGAGCCAGGAGUGGCCAUGGGUCUCUCUGGCCCCAGAGAAUCAGUGUUUUCCCUGCCCUUUACCAAGUCUUGGGUAGGAGUGCCAGAUUCACUGAAACAAAAACAAAAACCAGGAUGGCCCGUUAAACUUGAAUUUCGGAUAAGCAAUGAGUUUUCUCGAGUAUUACAGUGAUGUCCCAGGGGCAGGGGACUUAGCUCAGUGAAAGCACAAGGUCCUGAGUUCAAUCCCCUGUGUGUGUGUGUGUGUGUGUGUGUGUGUGUGUGUGUAUAGAUAGAUAGUGUCCCAGCCAGGUGUGGUGGUGCACGCAUGUAGUCCCAGCACUUCGGAGGCUGAGGAGGAGAAUGGCCAAAAGUUCAAGUCAGCCUGGGCUUCAUAGUGAAUUCAAGGACAGCCUGGACUACGUAGCAUAGCGAGACCAUGUCUCAAUAAAUAAAUAAAUAACACGAUUCCCAAAUAUUGCAAGGGGAAUGUUUAAGUUAUAAACUGCUCACUGUUUAUCUGCAACUCAGGUGGAACUGAAUGUCCUGUCAUUCUCCAGCCCCACACCCCACCUUGUCCUUUAAGCAGAGGGCACCCUGGGAUGGGCAGAGCCGCGGUGUUGCUGAGCUUCUGGAAAGGUGGUGGAGCUCUCUGUGCCACGCUGUUCCCUCCCUGUCCCUGGACUUCGGGGAAACCCUAGGAGAACACCUGGGACCAGGUGCUGACCGGAAGCUCCUGCCAGCUGGGCUGGACCUGUACCAAGGAGGCUAUGGAAGCUAUGGCUGUGUGGCUGCAGUGGGCACAGACGCACCCAACACACGGACGGGAACCCCGGGACAGUGCGGGUCAGAUGCUUGGUGUGCAGGGACGUAGGAGGGUGAGCACAGGACUUGGGGGGCUGAGACUGUGUGGUGGCCAUUCCACAGCCUUGUUUUGGCUGUGUAUGGGCACUGGGGAAUCAAACCCUGGGGGGAUCUACCACUGAGCUCCAUCCCUAGCUCUUUUUUUUUGGUAUUGGGGAUCUAACUUGGUACCUUGUGCUUGCGAGGCAGGUGGCAGAACCACUGAGCUAAACCAACCCCUGGCCCUCCCUG
ensembl:lincRNA